UCUUGGGGGGGCUCGGAAGGAU
rnacentral:rRNA from 1 species